UCCUUGUGGAUCCUUUCGGAAACUUUGUUAUUCAGAAGGCACUAUCAGUAUCUCAGGGACAAGUCCAAAGAUAUUUAGUAGCUCUAAUACAAAGGAACGCCCAAAAGAUGCGCAGCAAUAUCUAUGGGCAAAAGGUGCUUGUUUGGUUGAACAAGAACAUGAGGCCGCUACAACUGUAGGCAUGUGUAAACUGAGGGAGUUGUUCUAACCAAAAUUUUCCUACAGAUCAGGGUACCGGGCCUUUUUUUUUCGAGUUUUACCCCAUUGUUACUGUUGUUCAGUUGUGCUCGUAACUGACCUCGUACGUCGUCAUGGUGAAUGGCUGUGCGAGUGUCUGUUGUUUGUUGUUGUUGUUGUUUAGGUGUCAUCUGUUUUCUGGUACUUACUGUUGUAGCAUUAGAACGAAGGAAUUUGGAAGUUGUGGCGACUCUGUAACUGAGUAGGAACUAGCUAGCUUGAAUUACCGGCAGCAAUCUCCAAGAAAUUAGAAGGUUAAACUGUAUAUUUUGUGAUUGUCCCGCCGUUUUACUACUUCAUUUUUAGAGUCUGUUUGUUACUGCAGAAGUUCCAGUAGAUGUAGUUUUUUCAGGUUUUAAAAACAGUUUAAUUAAAGUUUUAAUAAAGAAAUUAAGUGAUGUUGAUUAA